rnacentral:rRNA from 1 species
UACGGGGGGGGCAAGCGUUGUCCGGAAUUAUUGGGCGUAAAGAGCUCGUAGGCGGUUUGUCGCGUCUGCUGUGAAAACUCGGGGCUCAACCCCGAGCCUGCAGUCGAUACGGGCAGACUAGAGUGCUGUAGGGGAGACUGGAAUUCCUGGUGUAGCGGUGAAAUGCGCAGAUAUCAGGAGGAACACCGGUGGCGAAGGCGGGUCUCUGGGCCGUAACUGACGCUGAGGAGCGAAAGCAUGGGGAGCGAACAGG